CGGGAUGCUGGGCGCAGCCUGAUCAGCCAUGCCGCGUGUGUGAAGAAGGCCUUUUGGUUGUAAAGCACUUUAAGCGAGGAGGAGGCUACUGGUAUUAAUACUACCGGAUAGUGGACGUUACUCGCAGAAUAAGCACCGGCUAACUCUGUGCCAGCAGCCGCGGUAAUACAGAGGGUGCGAGCGUUAAUCGGAUUUACUGGGCGUAAAGCGUGCGUAGGCGGCUUUUUAAGUCGGAUGUGAAAUCCCUGAGCUUAACUUAGGAAUUGCAUUCGAUACUGGGAAGCUAGAGUAUGGGAGAGGAUGGUAGAAUUCCAGGUGUAGCGGUGAAAUGCGUAGAGAUCUGGAGGAAUACCGAUGGCGAAGGCAGCCAUCUGGCCUAAUACUGACGCUGAGGUACGAAAGCAUGGGGAGCAAACAGGAUUAGAUACCCUGGUAGUCCAUGCCGUAAACGAUGUCUACUAGCCGUUGGGGCCUUUGAGGCUUUAGUGGCGCAGCUAACGCGAUAAGUAGACCGCCUGGGGAGUACGGUCGCAAGACUAAAACUCAAAUGAAUUGACGGGGGCCCGCACAAGCGGUGGAGCAUGUGGUUUAAUUCGAUGCAACGCGAAGAACCUUACCUGGUCUUGACAUAGUAAGAACUUUCCAGAGAUGGAUUGGUGCCUUCGGGAACUUACAUACAGGUGCUGCAUGGCUGUCGUCAGCUCGUGUCGUGAGAUGUUGGGUUAAGUCCCGCAACGAGCGCAACCCUUUUCCUUAUUUGCCAGCGGGUUAAGCCGGGAACUUUAAGGAUACUGCCAGUGACAAACUGGAGGAAGGCGGGGACGACGUCAAGUCAUCAUGGCCCUUACGACCAGGGCUACACACGUGCUACAAUGGUCGGUACAAAGGGUUGCUACCUAGCGAUAGGAUGCUAAUCUCAAAAAGCCGAUCGUAGUCCGGAUUGGAGUCUGCAACUCGACUCCAUGAAGUCGGAAUCGCUAGUAAUCGCGGAUCAGAUGCCGCGGUGAAUACGUUCCCGGGCCUUGUACACACCGCCCGUCACACCAUGGGAUUUGUUGCACAGAGUAGUAGUCUACGCAGAGACGCUUACCACGUGUGCCCGAUGACUGAGUGAGUCUACACAAAGGGAACAACA
rnacentral:rRNA from 1 species